AGCAUGAAGUCAAACAAGAGAACCCGCUGAAUUUAAGCAUAUAAGUAGGCGGAGGAAAAGGAACUAAAUAGGAUUCCCUUAGUAAUGGCGAAUGAACAGGGAUAAGCUCAGGCUGGAAACCAGAGCUCCGGUUCUGGGUUGUAGCUUGCAGACAAAGCGCUAUCGGCGGCUCGAGCGUAAGCCUCUUGGAACAGAGCGUGUGCCCAGGUGAGAAUCCUGUGUUUCGCUUGAUGUCCGCCGUAUACGGUGCUUGCUCUCAGAGUCACGCUCCUCGGAAUUGGAGCGUAAAUCAGGUGGUAGAUUUCAUCUAAAGCCAAAUACAGGCUCGAGACCGAUAGCGAACAAGUACCAUGAGGGAAAGAUGAAAAGGACUUUGGAAAGAGAGUUAAAAGUGCUUGAAAUCGCUGAAAGGGAAGCGAAUGGAACCACAUUCAUGGCUGAGAUUGCUGUAGGUGCUUGUGAAUGCUAGUCGCUCUGAUUGGGUGUGAGCAGGUACUUGCAGUGUUUCUUAGCUUGUGUGUCACUUGCCACAUAUGUGUGAGGAUGGCCUUUUGCACACGCUCUCUGCUUGCGGGUAGAGAUUUGUGCUUUUUGGGAUUCACUCGUAUAUGGCAUGCUGAUUCAGUGGUUCCUUUCGACCCGUCUUGAAACACGGACCAAGGAGUCUAGCACACACGCAAGUUCUUGGGUGGCAAACCUGUAUGCGCAAUGAAGGUGACUGCUGGGACUUUGCACCGGCAACCGACCGAUCAAUUGGGAGAAGUUUGAGUAUGAGCAUGUGUGUUAGGACCCGAAAGAUGGUGAACUAA
rnacentral:rRNA from 1 species